UACGGAGGGCGCGAGCGUUGUUCGGAAUUAUUGGGCGUAAAGCACACGUAGGCGGCUCGGUAAGUCUGCCUGUGAAAGCCCGGGGCUCAACCCCGGGAGGCCAGGGGAUACUGUCGGGCUAGAGACAAGCUGAGGUGGGUAGAAUUCCGGGUGUAGCGGUGGAAUGCGUAGAGAUCCGGAGGAAUACCAGAGGCGAAGGCGGCCCACUGGGCUUGAUCUGACGCUGAGGUGCGAAAGCGUGGGGAGCGAACAGG
rnacentral:misc_RNA from 1 species